rnacentral:sRNA from 1 species
GGGGGUCUACCCGCUGAAGCCUUGCCGCAGCGACUCUAAACACAUGCACCAGUCCGCUUUGCGGGCAACACCACGAUCUUACUGGGACCUCCGCACUGACCAGCAGUGCGGAAACCAGCCGCCUGCACCUCACAGGUUCACAGAUCAAACAGUGGUGGCCAAUCUCUUUGCCGCGUCACCACCCGGGCAGAUUGGUUAAGAUAUGACCGGUCUUCGCUGUAACCAGCUGAAGAAGCCAUGUUCCGUAGGUGAACCUGCGGAAGGAUCAUUACAGAGUUAGGGUCUUUCAGGCCCAACCUCCAACCCCAUGCAUAUCUACCUUUGUUGCUUUGGCGGGCCCGUUUGAGGCCACUCACCGGCGGCCGUGACUGCUGAGCGCCCGUCAAAGACCCAUCAAACUCUGUCAAUUGUGAUGUCUGAGUAUCAAUACAAUCGUUAAAACUUUCAACAACGGAUCUCUUGGUUCUGGCAUCGAUGAAGAACGCAGCGAAAUGCGAUAAGUAAUGUGAAUUGCAGAAUUCAGUGAAUCAUCGAAUCUUUGAACGCACAUUGCGCCCUUCGGUAUUCCGGAGGGCAUGCCUGUUCGAGCGUCAUUACACCACUCAAGCUUGGCUUGGUAUUGGGUGCUCGUCCCCGUGGACGUGCCCGGAAAUCAGCGGCGGUACAGCCCGGCUUCAAGCAGUAUUAAGUCAUCUCUCGCUUUGGAAGCUCGGGUGUGAACCUGCCGGACAACUCCCAUCUUUCUCAGGUUGACCUCGGAUCAGGUAGGGAUACCCGCUGAACUUAAGCAUAUCAAUAAGCGGAGGAAAAGAAACCAACAGGGAUUGCCUCAGUAACGGCGAGUGAAGCGGCAACAGCUCAAAUUUGAAAUCUGGCUCUUUCAGGGCCCGAGUUGUAAUUUGUAGAGGAUGCUUCGGGUACGGCUCCGGUCUAAGUUCCUUGGAACAGGACGUCGCAGAGGGUGAGAAUCCCGUAUGUGACCGGCCUCCACGCCCGUGUGAAGCUCCUUCGACGAGUCGAGUUGUUUGGGAAUGCAGCUCAAAAUGGGUGGUAAAUUUCAUCUAAAGCUAAAUAUUGGCCAGAGACCGAUAGCGCACAAGUAGAGUGAUCGAAAGAUGAAAAGCACUUUGGAAAGAGAGUCAAACAGUACGUGAAAUUGUUGAAAGGGAAGCGCUUGCAAUCAGACUUGCCCGCGGGUGAUCAACCGGUAUUCUUACCGGUGCACUCGCCCGUGGUCAGGCCAGCAUCGGUUUGGGCGGUUGGACAAAGUCCACCGGAACGUAGCUCCUCUCGGGGAGUGUUAUAGCCGGUGGUGCAAUGCAACCCGCCUGGACCGAGGACCGCGCU